UUGAAGGGGAAGGCGAAGUUUGAAAUCUCAAACUCUCUAAUAUCUUAAAUUGGUCUUCUCUUCUGAAAGUCUUAUAAGCACUCAAAUUCAAUCGUCUUCUGUUUUCAAAUUUAUUGGGAUAACUAAACUAGCUUAUACUAAAUAAAUUAUGUGAUAAUUUUACUUCGACCUUAAACGUAAAAUAAGUUACAUUUGCUUUCUAUUUCUAAUUUCAAUGUACUUCUAGCAUCCAGACAUGUUUCAAAGCAGCCAGGUCAAAGUCAUUUUACAUCAUCAGUUGAUCUCUGGAACCUCGCUGUGACAUUUUAUCACGUUACAACUGGACAACUUCCGUUUCAAGCAUUCGGUGGCAGAAAUGAUUCUCAUAAGAUGGUUCAGAUAAUGUCUGGUAAAUGGUCAGGAGAUACAUCAGGUAUUUACAGAGAACCUGGGGGUCCUGUGAAGAGAUAGAAACAUUUACCUGAAACAUGCUAUUUGUCUAGAGGGUAAAGGAAGCAAAUUGAACCUACAUUAGCUGGGUUAUUUGAAUCUGACGUUCGUCGUUCGUUAACCUUCGGUCAUUUUUCUGACGCAGUGAGUGAUGUUAAUAUCAAAAAAGACGAUGAAAAUCUUCUUUGCCAGAAAUGCAACGCAGAUGAUGCCGUACCUUGUUUGAAAAAGAUACUUUUCCAUUCCCAUCGUUUUCGUUUAAUUCGUCUCUUAGCAACGACUCUUCUGUUGCGAAACAAUGUGCAGCUAUUGGAUAUUAUGUAGAGUGGAAGAGCAAAGAUAUAAUUAAAAGCCAGCAUUUACUUCUAGAAGCAAAACUCCAUCUAAGGGUCUGUGUUUCGGGAUUUGGUAAAGAUAUAAAAAGAUGUGUCAGCUAUGGUAAAAGAAGAGAUUUUACAACAGUUAUCGGGCCAAUCGCCCGACUGGCAUAAAACAAGAAAACACAGCUGCUGGACUUUCGACGGUGUGAUAUUUGUGAAGGACAAACACCAAAACGUACAUCGUAUUACAUGUAGAGAUGAUCUUGUCAGAUUUGAACAUUUACUUUUUGUUACUGUAAAAUAGAGUCCUAAUUAUUAGUGGGAACUGUACUGAAAGCAUUGCGGUCAUGUUAUACAACAGCAGUACCGUUAUCCCACUAUUUAAACAUAUUAAAUUUAGCAUAUUGUAUUUCGCAUGCAUAGCCUUCGUGAAUUGACCGCAAAAACAAAUUAAUCCAUUUUUUGUUUAUUUGUAAAACUGAACGUGAACUUUAAAUAUUUAUAUGUAUAUACAACGUAAAAUGUGCAGUGUUGUCUGUGACAAAAACAGCUUGUCUCUGUUUCCGUAGAUUUUUUUUUUACUAUUCCUGUCCUUUAUUUUGAUCAUUUAAGCAUCUACUGAUCAUAACGUUGACUAUUUUCAUUUCAUAUUUAUAAUUCACAACUACCAGUGCUUAUUGUGUUAUAUAUAAAUUUCACUUACAUUAUCCAAUC
rnacentral:lncRNA from 1 species